rnacentral:snoRNA from 1 species
UCGACAGCGACACCUCAGACGACGAUCAGGUCUUCGUCUGGACCGGCUGCUGGCCUGA